GCUUAUGGCCACACCUCCCUCAAGACGCCUGAUCUUUGAAGCUAAACAGGGUCGGGCCUGGUUAGUACUUGGAUGGGAGACCGCCUGGGAAUACCAGGUGUGCUGUAAGCC
ensembl:rRNA 5S_rRNA 5S ribosomal RNA